UACGUAGGGUGCGAGCGUUGUCCGGGUUUAUUGGGCGUAAAGGGCUCGUAGGCGGCUUGUCGCGUCGGGAGUGAAAGCCCGCUGCUUAACGGCGGGUUUGCUUUCGGUACGGGCAGGCUGGAGUACGGCAGGGGAGACUGGAAUUCCUGGUGUAGCGGUGGAAUGCGCAGAUAUCAGGAGGAACACCGGUGGCGAAGGCGGGUCUCUGGGACGGUACUGACGCUGAGACGCGAAAGCGUGGGGAGCGAACAGG
rnacentral:rRNA from 1 species